rnacentral:lncRNA from 1 species
UAUUUUUUGCACAUUCAAUUAAAGUCCAUCACGUAAUAAAAGUGUCAUUAUGAGUAUCUUAGAUAGUAGAACAAAGAAAAAUGAGGUACGGCGAGCGAUCUGUUCAUAUGGGCAUGAGUCAAGGCACUGGGGGAUUUUUCUUGAUAUUAGAACUAGAAGCAGAAGUGAGGUGCGCGCACGGGAAAAUAAAUGACGAGAAGGGAGAGGGAAGGAGAAGGGCUAUAUGUAUUUACGGUGCAAACUAGAAUGUGUGCGAAC